UACGGAAGGUAGCAGUGGGGAAUAUUGCACAAUGGGCGCAAGCCUGAUGCAGCCAUGCCGCGUGUAUGAAGAAGGCCUUCGGGUUGUAAAGUACUUUCAGUCGUGAGGAAGGUGUUAAGGUUAAUAACCUUAGCAAUUGACGUUAGCGACAGAAGAAGCACCGGCUAACUCCGUGCCAGCAGCCGCGAUAAUACGGAGGGUGCGAGCGUUAAUCGGAAUUACUGGGCGUAAAGGGCACGCAGGCGGUUAAUUAAGUUGGAUGUGAAAUCCCCGGGCUUAACCUGGGAAUGGCAUUCAAGACUGGUUAGCUAGAGUCUUGUAGAGGGGGUAGAAUUCCAUGUGUAGCGGUGAAAUGCGUAGAGAUGUGGAGGAAUACCGGUGGCGAAGGCGGCCCCUGGACAAAGACUGACGCUCAUGUGCGAAAGCGUGGGGAGCAAAC
rnacentral:rRNA from 1 species